rnacentral:tRNA from 1 species
GUUGUAGCUCAGUGGUAGAGCUCUAGACUCAUACGCUUGAGGCACUGGGUUUGAUUCCUAGAACCACA